UUAAAAAAAAAUGUCAAGGCUGUUUGAGUUUAUCUGUCUGUCUGCAUCUGCUUUAGAAAUGGGUGGGUUGAAGGGGAACGCUUUCUUAACAAGCCUUAUUCCAAAAUACUUAUAGAGGAAGGCAUGCAUGGAAUAAAAUUUCUGCCGGGCUUGAGUUGUGUUGUGUGAAGGCAGAGUACUGCAAGAGGGGAUGGGAUACAGGAGGAGUUGCUAUGCGUUUCUCUUUCUUUAUUUCUCUACUUUUUUUAGGAGAAUGCGAUACAAAAAUCAGUAAGUACAAUUCCCCUUGAAAUUGUGCAGGAGAGCAAGCUUUCUACUGCAGAUUAGUUUCCGUUCUUCAAAAACGUUAGGGUUUCUUUUUAUAGAUUACUUCCCACACUUUGCAUUAGGAUCAUAAGGCAUAUUUUUCUCCCUUUAGAAGUGCCUACGGGAUAAGUCUAAAUCCUCACCAAAUCAUAGAAAGCUUUAGAUUGUAAAGGGACCUUUGAAGGUCUUAAGCUUAUCUUUGUGCUCAGAGAGGUGAGGUUGCUCAAGGCAGUGUCCAGUUGAGUUUUGAAGAUCUCCAAGGAUGGAGAUCCACCACCUUCCUGCACUCUGUUGUAGGCUUCCACCGUUUCCAUGGGGAARAAUUUCCUCCUGAUAUCCCACUGGGAUAUGUUCAAAGCAAAAUCUUUAACAUAAAGGCAGUAGUGGGGAUAAAUAUCCUUGAUUUGAGGGCUCUAGAGAUGCUAUAGGCCUAUGCACAAAAGAGAAAGAAGUAUUUAAUAAUAAUUCCUGCUUUUUUUCUUUCCCUCUUUUCUUCCCAGAGGAACGUGAUAGAAAAAUUACCAAGCUCUCAGCAGAAAUACGUAGACUCAAUGCGCUGCUCGGGGACCGAGACUCGAGUCUUCGUAAGUGACGUUCUUCUCCUGGCAAGUAAAAUCUUGUUGUCAAGGGAAACUCACUGCAGAACUCGCCAAGUGCGACGCAACGAUCCCUAAGUCUGGGCCUCGAGAAGCAAUG
rnacentral:lncRNA from 1 species